ensembl:miRNA aca-mir-5464 aca-mir-5464
GAUGGCCUCUAUCUUGCCGUUCUUACCGAGGCAAUAAAGUAGAUGAGAUUUUUGCCUAAGUAAGGACUUCAGGAUUAGGCCCAA